GACGUAGGGCGCGAGCGUUGUCCGGAUUUAUUGGGCGUAAAGAGCUCGUAGGCGGCUUGUCGCGUCGUUCGUGAAAACCUGCAGCUCAACUGCAGGCUUGCGGUCGAUACGGGCAGGCUAGAGUUCGGUAGGGGAGACUGGAAUUCCUGGUGUAGCGGUGAAAUGCGCAGAUAUCAGGAGGAACACCGGUGGCGAAGGCGGGUCUCUGGGCCGAUAUUGACGCUGAGGAGCGAAAGCGUGGGGAGCGAACAGG
rnacentral:rRNA from 1 species